GAUCUGGCUCAGGACGAACGCUGGCGGCGUGCCUAACACAUGCAAGUCGAGCGGAGACAGUGAGUAGCUUGCUACGAACUGUUUUAGCGGCGGACGGGUGAGUAACGCGUGAGCAACCUUUCCCAGACAGGGGAAUAACACACCGAAAGGUGUACUAAUACCGCAUAAGACCACGGUUUCACAUGGAACUGAGGUAAAAGAUUUAUCGGUUUGGGGUGGGCUCGCGUCCGAUUAGGUAGUUGGUGAGGUAACGGCCC
rnacentral:rRNA from 1 species